CCUUAGUUGCCAGCAUUCAGUUGGGCACUCUAAGGAGACUGCCGGUGUUAAACCGGAGGAAGGUGGGGAUGACGUCAAGUCCUCAUGGCCCUUAUGGUCCAGGGCUACACACGUGCUACAAUGGCCGGUACAAAGGGCUGCAAGACCGUGAGGUUGAGCGAAUCCCAGAAAGCCGGUCUCAGUUCGGAUUGGAGUCUGCAACUCGACUCCAUGAAGUUGGAAUCGCUAGUAAUCGCGGAUCAGCAUGCCGCGGUGAAUACGUUCCCGGGCCUU
rnacentral:rRNA from 1 species